rnacentral:rRNA from 1 species
UAGGUUAACGAGGCGAACCGGGGGAACUGAAACAUCUAAGUACCCCGAGGAAAAGAAAUCAACCGAGAUUCCCCCAGUAGCGGCGAGCGAACGGGGAGCAGCCCAGAGUCUGAAUCAGCUUGUGUGUUAGUGGAACGGUCUGGAAAGUCCGACGGUACAGGGUGAUAGUCCCGUACACCAAAAUGCACAGGCUGUGAACUCGAAGAGUAGGGCGGGACACGUGGUAUCCUGUCUGAAUAUGGGGGGACCAUCCUCCAAGGCUAAAUACUCCUGACUGACCGAUAGUGAACCAGUACCGUGAGGGAAAGGCGAAAAGAACCCCGGCGAGGGGAGUGAAAAAGAACCUGAAACCGUGUACGUACAAGCAGUGGGAGCACCUUCGGGUGUGACUGCGUACCUUUUGUAUAAUGGGUCAGCGACUUAUAUUCUGUAGCAAGGUUAACCGUAUAGGGGAGCCGCAGGGAAACCGAGUCUUAACUGGGCGUUAAGUUGCAGGGUAUAGACCCGAAACCCGGUGAUCUAGCCAUGGGCAGGUUGAAGGUUGGGUAACACUAACUGGAGGACCGAACCGACUAAUGUUGAAAAAUUAGCGGAUGACUUGUGGCUGGGGGUGAAAGGCCAAUCAAACCGGGAGAUAGCUGGUUCUCCCCGAAAGCUAUUUAGGUAGCGCCUCGUGAACUCAUCUUCGGGGGUAGAGCACUGUUUCGGCUAGGGGGUCAUCCCGACUUACCAACCCGAUGCAAACUACGAAUACCGAAGAAUGUUAUCACGGGAGACACACGGCGGGUGCUAACGUCCGUCGUGAAGAGGGAAACAACCCAGACCGCCAGCUAAGGUCCCAAAGUCAUGGUUAAGUGGGAAACGAUGUGGGAAGGCACAGACAGCCAGGAUGUUGGCUUAGAAGCAGCCAUCAUUUAAAGAAAGCGUAAUAGCUCACUGGUCGAGUCGGCCUGCGCGGAAGAUGUAACGGGGCUAAACCAUGCACCGAAGCUGCGGCAGCGACACUAUGUGUUGUUGGGUAGGGGAGCGUUCUGUAAGCCUGCGAAGGUGACCUGUGAGGGUUGCUGGAGGUAUCAGAAGUGCGAAUGCUGACAUAAGUAACGAUAAAGCGGGUGAAAAGCCCGCUCGCCGGAAGACCAAGGGUUCCUGUCCAACGUUAAUCGGGGCAGGGUGAGUCGACCCCUAAGGCGAGGCCGAAAGGCGUAGUCGAUGGGAAACAGGUUAAUAUUCCUGUACUUGGUGUUACUGCGAAGGGGGGACGGAGAAGGCUAUGUUAGCCGGGCGACGGUUGUC